GGGACACGUAAUUGACGCUCAGUAGAUAUUUGUGUAUUGAACUCCAUCCCUUGUCCUCCUCCCCUCUUGAUGUUUUUCUCUACUGGCCUUAUGCUACACAGUAAAGCAGGGCAUGAUUAUGCCACUUGAUUACCCCCAAGAGAUUGGAAUAAAUGCUUAUGCCAAAUUCCUACAGCUAUCCCUGUGAAUGGUUUAUUACCCAGGAGCCCUGACACUGGCUGAUUUCUGAAUUUUCAGUGCUUCUGUAAUAUAUACUAGUUGGGGGAGGAGAAAUAGAAAGCUUAAACUCAAUGUGC
rnacentral:lncRNA from 1 species